AUUGAACGCUGGCGGCAGGCCUAACACAUGCAAGUCGAACGAGUGGCGGACGGGUGAGUAAUGUCUGGGAAACUGCCUGAUGGAGGGGGAUAACUACUGGAAACGGUAGCUAAUACCGCAUACCAUCGGAUGUGCCCAGAUGGGAUUAGCUAGUAGGUGGGGUAAAGGCUCACCUAGGCGACGAUCCCUAGCUGGUCUGCGAGGAUGAACAGCCACACUGGAACUGAGACACGUGCCAGACUCCUACGGGAGGCAGCAGUGGGGAAUAUUGCACAAGGGGCGAAAGCCUGACGCAGCCAUGCCGCGUGUAUGAAGAAGGCCUUCGGGUUGUAAAGUACUUUCAGCGGGGAAGCGUUACCCACAGAGGAAGCACCGGCUAACUCCGUGCCAGCCGCCGCGGUAAUAC
rnacentral:rRNA from 1 species